AUAAAAACCCUUCAGGACAAAACCACUAAGCCGUGUGCACACUCCUGACUCAGAAACUGGGAGAUUAUAAAUGGCUGUAGUCUUAAGCCGAUAAAUUUGUGGUAAUUUGUUACAUGACCAUAAAAAUUAACACACAUGUUAAGAGUAAACAAUGGACAGAAUAGCAGUGAUGUCAGCAGAUGGGCCCAGGCUUCUUCCCGUUUUGAUCUUAGGGUUCGCAAACACAGCAAGAAAGGAAGCAGGUGAGAACUGUUUUAUCUCAGUGUCCUAAAGAUCAUAAAACAUGACAAGUGAGAAAUAAAAUAGCCCUUGGUUUAUUUUGGGGAGCAAAAGCUUUUCUAAGUACAGUAGGACUCUAUGGGAUACUUUUAAAAUAGAGCAUUCUUGAGACACUAUUUAUUUUUUAAAAAAUUGAUAAUUGUAGUUGGGCCGUGAGGAGCAAGGAAUACAGUCAACUGGGUGAAAUGAAUCCUGGAGUAGUCUUUGGUUAGUGCAGAUUGUUGAAAACAUAAGCAGAUGGUACCCUAUUUUGGAAGUAAUGGCAAUGAACCUCCCAGAUGGGAGAAGAGGAGGAAAGAGAGGGAUUAGGAGUGACCUGGAGGUUUUUACCAUAUGCUAUUCUUUUGUGAUUUACUGAUGCAAAAUGGAUUUGGGACCUUCUAAAUUAGGGAUAAUAUAAGAGGAGUUUGUGAAUGUUGCUCACUUCGGGAUUGAGAGGACAAUAAACACGCAGAUUAAGUGGACGUAUUUGCAGGAUCAAAGUUUCUUCAGCCCUCUUUGUGACAAAGAGCAGGAGAGUUAACAAAGCCCUGGGCCAAGACUGUGGAUGCGAGCUGCUGUUCACCCCAGAUGACUGCAGACCCUCCCACACACUGUGAUGGACUCUGCCUUCACUCUGCAGAUGGGCCCUGGGUCUGGUCAAGCCCUGCUGGAGCCUCAGCAUCGCUCAUCUGCAGGUGCCAGCUGAGGACAACUCUCACACUCGCAGAAGGAGCGGGGAGGGCACUCUUCUGACAACAGUGAUGUCUGUUAUUUAAACCCAUAUGGGGUCAUCCCCAUAACUGCAUAUAUCGUUCUUCUUACCUUGAAGUGGUCCUGUAUGUUAUAACAGACUAUUUCUCAGAAUGUGGCAUGAGCAAAACUGACAAGUCAAGGCAGCAAGAUGUUGCCAUCACAACUCCUUGGGUUUCUGCUGCUCUGGGAUCUAGAUGCCAGUGGCAACAUUGUGUGGACCCUCUCUCCAGCCCCUAACCCUGCGUCCCAGGUCGGGGGGGUCACCAGCUGGGCUGACCAGAGUAUGAACAGCAUCCUAGUCCAGCUCCAGCAGAACUGAGGCCUGGUUCUGAGCUCCUGAUGCCCCCUGGAGACCAUGCCUGCCCUGGUCACUCUGGCUAUCAGCAUCCAAAUUGCCUUCAGGGACAUGUGCCCCGUCCUCCUGUCAUUACUGGUACACAAAUCUCACCCCAGCUGCUCACCUGCCUGGGGUCUGCUGAAGAUCUGGGGCCUUCUCAGUGGAGCAGAA